CUGCGAGUGAAGCGGGAAAAGCUCAAAUUUAAAAUCUGGCAGUCUUUUGGCUGUCCGAGUUGUAGUCUGGAGAAGUGCUUUCCGCGCUGGACCGUGUAUAAGUCUCUUGGAACAGAGCGUCAUAGAGGGUGAGAAUCCCGUCUUUGACACGGACUACCAGUGCUUUGUGAUGCGCUCUCGAAGAGUCGAGUUGUUUGGGAAUGCAGCUCAAAAUGGGUGGUGAAUUCCAUCUAAAGCUAAAUAUUGGCGAGAGACCGAUAGCGAACAAGUACCGUGAGGGAAAGAUGAAAAGCACUUUGGAAAGAGAGUUAAACAGUACGUGAAAUUGCUGAAAGGGAAACGCUUGAAGUCAGUCGCGUCGUCCGGAACUCAGCCUUGCUUUUGCUUGGUGCACUUUCCGGUUGACGGGUCAGCAUCGAUUUUGACCGUCGGAAAAGGGCUGGAGUAAUGUGGCACCCUCGGGUGUGUUAUAGACUCUGGUCGCAUACGGCGGUUGGGAUCGAGGAACGCAGCGCGCCGUAAGGCAGGGGUUCGCCCACUUUCGCGCUUAGGAUGCUGGCAUAAUGGCUUUAAACGACCCGUCUUGAAACACGGACCAAGGAGUCUAACAUACCUGCGAGUGUUUGGGUGGAAAACCCGAGCGCGUAAUGAAAGUGAAAGUUGAGACCCCUGUCGUGGGGGGCAUCGACGCCCGGACCUGACGUUCUCUGAAGGAUCCGCGGUAGAGCAUGUAUGUUGGGACCCGAAAGAUGGUGAACUAUGCCUGAAUAGGGUGAAGCCAGAGGAAACUCUGGUGGAGGCUCGUAGCGAUUCUGACGUGCAAAUCGAUCGUCAAAUUGGGUAUAGGGGCGAAAGACUAAUCGACCAUCUAGUAUGCCC
rnacentral:rRNA from 1 species